GAGUUUGAUCAUGGCUCAGAUUGAACGCUGGCGGCAUGCCUUACACAUGCAAGUCGAACGGUAACAGGUUAAGCUGACGAGUGGCGAACGGGUGAGUAAUACAUCGGAACGUGCCCAAUCGUGGGGGAUAACGCAGCGAAAGCUGUGCUAAUACCACAUACGAUCUACGGAUGAAAGCAGGGGAUCGCAAGACCUUGCGCGGACGGAGCGGCCGAUGGCAGAUUAGGUAGUUGGUGAGGUAAAGGCUCACCAAGCCUUCGAUCUGUAGCUGGUCUGAGAGGACGACCAGCCACACUGGGACUGAGACACGGCCCAGACUCCUACGGGAGGCAGCAGUGGGGAAUUUUGGACAAUGGGCGCAAGCCUGAUCCAGCCAUGCCGCGUGCAGGAUGAAGGCCUUCGGGUUGUAAACUGCUUUUGUACGGAACGAAAAGGUUCUCUCUAAUACAGGGGGCUCAUGACGGUACCGUAAGAAUAAGCACCGGCUAACUACGUGCCAGCAGCCGCGGUAAUACG
rnacentral:rRNA from 1 species